rnacentral:antisense_RNA from 1 species
AACACCUGGAGAUGAAGACAAGGAAGAUGUCAGUUUCUACAUUAAGUAACAAACUAGAAAGAAAACAUAACUUUUUUUCUCCUUCACAAAAACAUACCAAAUGGGAACUGCGCAACCAUCUUUGGAGAUGUGAGAGGCUCUGAAAUGCCAAAUCGGUUUUCAGCACGGACCCGGAAGAUGUACUCCUGGCCUGGGAUCAGCUUUCCAACCCUGCAGGAAGUUUUUGUGACUGAAGCUAGAGCUGUGACCCAGUCACCUCGGCUUACAUCACACUUCUCCACUAUAUAAUUGGUGAUGUUACUGCCUCCGUCCUCCAGAGGGAUGUGCCAUGACAGGGAGCAAGCAUCAGCGUCUAUAUCAGAAAUGUCAAACGGAGGCUGAGGGGGGCCGGGGGCAUCUACAUGAACCAAGAGGAAAGAAAUAGAAUAGACGCCUUGAUGGCUCCUCUGGCAGUUCUUGAUGACCAUGGAUGAGCUAAUGGCUGUGGUCUCAAUGGUGGCUUCUUGAGUUACAUCUUUGAGAGGGGUGAGGAAUUUGAGCCGGAUUCCUAUCAAGAAAAAAAAGAAAGAA